GGAUGGGCCAUGUGUUGGGGCGGAAAGGGGCUCAACGAGCGGAGGAGGUGUCCGUCACUCCCCGGCACACACACGGUCUCUCUCCCCCACCCUUCGGUUGGGCUCGGCAGGCGGGGCGCGAGCGCGCGUGGGAGCGGGGGAGAAAUCUUUCUCUCGCCUCCCCUGGUGGCGGCGGAGGAGGCAGGGAGGGACAGAGGGACGGCCUCGGUGAUUCGGCGAUCGGCCUCGCGGGCUGAGGGUGAGGCUGCGGAAUCCCGAGCCGCGGAUGGGGCGGGAGAGGCAGCGCUGCGGGGACACGACGGGGUUAAGCUGGGUCGACCGCCAUUUUGAAUGGCAGGGAGUGAAGUCAGUAGGUUUGUCUGCAGGGUUGCAUCAAGGUAAGACUGAGUCAGCACUGUCACAGGAGCUCCCCUGCCCUACUCCUGAUUUGAAUAGCUGCACAAGAAACUUGGCUUGCAAACUGAGCCAGGUCUCCCCGUUGCCCUGUGUCAGAAAAACCUGCCACCGAAUGUGCCUACAGGAAAAUGCAUAAGUAUUCAAGAAAAUUAUAGAAAUUGAAAUGUAAAAAUUAAUAAAGAAUUACAUGUGUAACAAUGUAGAACUAUGCCACUUUUUGAAAAAAUUGAGAAAGUGUAGUUAAUUGAGAAGCAGCACAUGCAUCAUGUAAAAAGAGUGCCAGUAAACACUUAAUUAUAAAGAUGAGGUUUGCUGGCAGAAUUCUACAUGUCAAGAAAUGAUGGAGGUUCCCUUCCAUGCUUGGAAAAUGACCUAUUGCCAAGAGUGAAAUAAUUAUAUGAUUUUUUAAGGAAUUCAGUUUAGUAUAACAAGAACACACAUUGUUGGGAAGCAGUUAACAGUAUAGCACUAAGUGACAUUCAGAGAUUGCUUAUAUGACAGUGAGAAUUUCGUAGAUUAAAUUUGAUUAAGAUGAACUGAUUAAGUCUUAGAUAAUUGAAGAAUAGUGCUAGAGUUGUUGGCAUUGCUGAACCAGUAUAAUUUAAAAAUCUUCUGUUUGUUGCUUUGUACUAAUGACUGUAAAAGUUGGGAGUGGACUCACAAGAGAAAGCAGUGUGUAGUGACAUAUAACAUUUGAGCACUAAUACUAUUUUGGGAAAUGGUAUGUUCAACAGAUUUACUAGCAAGUGGUGGAGUAUAUAAGAAAAUUGGUUGAGCAUUUGAAUAGCUUUUUUUAAAAAAAUCAAAGUAAUAGGUUUAUUUCUACAAGAGAGCUGCCAAUCCCCCCAUACUCCGAAAUUUUUAUUCUGCACAAUGCAGGUCAGGUAGAUGCUUGUAAGAAUUUCUUUUAAACAAGAAAGUGAAACAUAAUUUUUCAUAUUCUAGUUCUGAUGAAUAGCUGAAGCAUUUAGUUGAAAGUCUCCAUUGAGAAAUAUGUCUGGUGUGAAGACAGUUAGCCCAAAUGGUUCAAAUAAUAAGUAAUUAGAAGGAUGUCAUAAUGGAAAAUUUUCAAGUGCUAUAACUGCCAAAAGCCCUAUCAUUCUUCUAUAACUUGUGUAGCCAAAUACACAUGAGUAUGUGGUUAUUAUUUGAAUUUUUGUUAUUUUAAAAUGGGAAAUGGGUUUCUGUGAAUGAAUCACAGAAAUGGGGCUGGAUGGUAAGGAGUGAAAGCCAUUUAAUUUUAGAUGCUGCGUUUUUUUCUGCCAUGUAGUCUGACUUAUGGGAGGCAUUCCUUGUUCAUGCAUCAGACAAAGUGAAAGAAGCCCCAGCGCAAUAUGUAGCUCACAAACAGCCAUCUGUUAUUCAAAAGGAAAGAGGAGUGUUGCUAUCAGAGUAAACCUGAAAUGUUUUAAGAUUAGCUUAGAGAUGGCAGAGCUCCAUUAAAUAUUUUGUCCAUCUCUGUUGUCUCUGUCAUAUCCAAGUGUAUACAUUAUACUGAAGUUUCAGAUGCCUGCUAUAUUUUCUUCUCUUAGGACAAUUACCUCUAGUUUAGAACUCAGUAUAUGCUUUCUCUGAGUUACCAAAUAAGUAUGUAUAUAUAACCUUUUAUUGCCCUCAAAUAAUUAUUUUUCCUUCCUGGGGUUUGUUCCUUUGAAAUAAUUUUCCUGAUCAAACUGGAUGUUAACAAAAAAGCAUUUUUAACUUUUUACUUGUUUAGCUUAAGCUAAAGUAACGUUUGUUUAGGCUUGUAGUAUUUCCUUUUGAUUCUUUCCAGCUCCCAAAGAAUUUCUGUUAUAUUUAUGUGAAUUCCAUCCAAUUUGCAUAGAUCUUUCUUGUAAUAUGCCUAGAACACAUUUGUGAUUUCCACAGUGGCUGUAAAGAGUGUGGAUGAAGCAUUUGUGUUUUAUGUCCAGGCAACUGCAUGACCUCCAUUUGUAGGCAGCAUUAAUUACUUGGGAGUAUUGAUGUUUGGUCUGCCAUGAGGUUUGAAGGACUCUGUUGGCUGCCCACAAAUAAAGUGUUGCACUGCCUGCCUGCAGCCGUUUAGAGAGACCAGUACCUUCCUGCUCCAGGACACACUGCUUCCAAGUAUGCAACCCAAAUCUCACUUAGUCUCUUUGUUGGUACUCUUACAAAACUAUUUGUAGUUUCUACUUGCUUGUUAUCCUUAGAUCCUUUACAAAUAUGAUGCCUCUGGGGUAUUGCCAUCCCAUUGAAUAUAUUCCAGAAUCUGUUCUAGAAUAUUUCUCUCGGUGUUUUGCAUAGCAGUAGCUUGAUUUUUCUUGUAUUUAAUCUAAUUUUAUAUUUUUCUGGCUGCAUUUUAGCCUCACUAAUUUAUGUUGAAGUAUCUCAGUGUCUUCAGAGUUGUCCACAUUGUAGCCUCUUGGGGAUUAAUGAAGCUGUCAAAUAAAACAAGGCCUCACAAUGGUUCCUGUGGCUCCACAGGUAUAGAUAAAUUACUUAUUUUCCUAUAUUCCAGUUUUAUCUUGAGCCCUGUAAUAGUCACUGUUUACUUUAAGCUACAGAAUUUUUACACAGUCCUUUGGACCUGCCAUUCUGCAUUGUAACCUAUGCAGCACAUCCUAAGAGAUUUUUGAAGUCUCAUUGGAGUACCAUAUGCUUUCCAAAAAUUGAGUUAUGUACUAUCUAAAGAGUUCUUUGGACCCUGUAUUUUGUUCUGGCUUUUGGGGAAAGUGGAGGUGUUUGUUUUAUGUAAGGUAAAUAUUGCCUAGCAUUCUGCUGUCCUUUAAGGCUAAUAUUUUCAGGCUUGCUUCAUCUGAAAUUAAGUUUAAUGCAAUUUCAGAGGUAAGGCUCUUAUCUAGAUGUUUAAAAAAGCUAAUUUUGUGGCUACUGAAGCCUAUUUCCAAAAAUGUUCAUUUACUGAAUGCUUUUUGCUAGUGUUCUUUUUUCCUCAGAACUUGCACUAUAAGUAACAUAUUAUUAUGUUAUUUUAAUAUUGAGAUACUGUUACUACUAUGACAGUGUGCAGACCCCAUCAGCACACAGAUCUACCUCGACAAUUUGAAUUUUGCAAAUAAAAUUAAUUUUCAUACCAA